rnacentral:rRNA from 1 species
GUUGUAUAGUCAAGUAAUUAAGUGCAUGUGGUGGAUGCCUUGGCAGUCAGAGGCGAUGAAAGACGUGAUAGCCUGCGAAAAGCUCCGGGGAGGCGGCAAAUAUCCUUUGAUCCGGAGAUGUCUGAAUGGGGGAACCCACCUACUUUAAGGUAGGUAUUGCAACAUGAAUACAUAGUGUUGCAAGGCGAACGAGGGGAAGUGAAACAUCUCAGUACCCUUAGGAAAAGAAAUCAAUUGAGAUUCCCUCAGUAGCGGCGAGCGAACGGGGAUCAGCCCAUUAAGUUAUGUGUGUUUUAGUGGAACGCUCUGGGAAGUGCGAACGUAGAGGGUGAUAUUCCCGUACACGAAAGGGCACACAUAAUGAUGACGAGUAGGGCGAGGCACGUGAAACCUUGUCUGAAUAUGGGGGGACCAUCCUCCAAGGCUAAAUACUCCUGACUGACCGAUAGUGAACCAGUACCGUGAGGGAAAGGCGAAAAGAACCCCUGUGAGGGGAGUGAAAUAGAUCCUGAAACCGCAUGCAUACAAGCAGUGGGAGCACCUUCGUGGUGUGACUGCGUACCUUUUGUAUAAUGGGUCAGCGACUUAUAUUCAGUAGCGAGGUUAACCGUAUAGGGGAGCCGUAGAGAAAUCGAGUCUUAAUAGGGCGUUUAGUUGCUGGGUAUAGACCCGAAACCAGGCGAUCUAUCCAUGAGCAGGUUGAAGGUUGGGUAACACUAACUGGAGGACCGAACCCACUGUCGUUGAAAAGCCAGGGGAUGACUUGUGGAUAGGGGUGAAAGGCUAAUCAAGCCUGGUGAUAGCUGUUUCUCCCCGAAAGCUAUUUAGGUAG